GAGUUUGAUCAUGGCUCAGAUUGAACGCUGGCGGCAUGCUUUACACAUGCAAGUCGAACGGUAACAGGGAGCUUGCUCCGCUGACGAGUGGCGAACGGGUGAGUAAUGCGUCGGAACGUGCCGAGUAGUGGGGGAUAACGCAUCGAAAGGUGUGCUAAUACCGCAUACGAACUGAGGUUGAAAGUGGGGGACCUUCGGGCCUCACGCUAUUCGAGCGGCCGACGUCUGAUUAGCUAGUAGGUGAGGUAAAGGCUCACCUAGGCGACGAUCAGUAGCGGGUCUGAGAGGAUGAUCCGCCACACUGGGACUGAGACACGGCCCAGACUCCUACGGGAGGCAGCAGUGGGGAAUUUUGGACAAUGGGCGCAAGCCUGAUCCAGCCAUGCCGCGUGUCUGAAGAAGGCCUUCGGGUUGUAAAGGACUUUUGUCUGGGAGCAAAUACCCGGUGUUAAUAGCGCCGGGGGCUGAGAGUACCAGAAGAAUAAGCACCGGCUAACUACGUGCCAGC
rnacentral:rRNA from 1 species